rnacentral:sRNA from 1 species
GCUGGGUGUGGAAGCGCAUGCGUGUAGUCCCAGCUACUUGGGAGGCCGAGGCAGGAGGAUUUCUUGAGCCCAGGCGAUGGGUGAUGGCCUCGGGCAACAUAGUGAGACCAUGCCUCUU